rnacentral:rRNA from 1 species
AACGAACGCUGGCGGCAGGCCUAACACAUGCAAGUCGAACGCCGUAGCAAUACGGAGUGGCAGACGGGUGAGUAACGCGUGGGAACCUACCUUACGGUCGGGAAUAGCUCAGGGAAACUUGGGGGUAAUACCGGAUAAGCCCUUACGGGGAAAGAUUUAUCGCCGUUAGAUGGGCCCGCGUAGGAUUAGCUAGUUGGUGAGGUAAUGGCUCACCAAGGCGACGAUCCUUAGCUGGUCUGAGAGGAUGAUCAGCCACACUGGGACUGAGACACGGCCCAGACUCCUACGGGAGGCAGCAGUGGGGAAUAUUGGACAAUGGGCGCAAGCCUGAUCCAGCCAUGCCGCGUGAGUGAUGAAGGCCUUAGGGUUGUAAAGUUCUUUUGCCCGUGACGAUGAUGACGGUAACGGGAGAAUAAGCUCCGGCUAACUUCGUG